AUUGAACGCUGGCGGCAUGCCUAACACAUGCAAGUCGAACGGCAGCACAGCAGUAGCAAUACUGUGGGUGGCGAGUGGCGGACGGGUGAGGAAUACGUCGGAAUCUGCCCAGUCGUGGGGGGAUAACUAGCCGAAAGGUUAGCUAAUACCGCUUUUUAACGACCGAGAGGUGAAAGGCGGGGGACCGCAAGGCCUCGCGCGAUUGGAUGAGCCGACGUCGGAUUAGCUAGUUGGUGGGGUAAGGCCCACCAAGACGACGAUCCGUAGCUGGUCUGAGAGGAUGAUCAGCCACACUGGAACUGAGACACGGUCCAGACUCCUACGGGAGGCAGCAGUGGGGAAUAGUUGGACAAGUGGGCGCAAGCCUGAUCCAGCAAUGCCGCGUGUGUGAAGAAGG
rnacentral:rRNA from 1 species